GCCUUUGCCGCCAAGCUUCCAGGGAGCUGCUGGGCGAAGGCUGAGACCCAGCGGCCCUGCCUCACAGUCACAGAGAGAAGAGCUCCCCACUUGGCCCUAACUCAUAACCUGCCCCAAUCCCGGAACACUCGGUGAGGUUUGAGAGAUGCACACCACGUAACAUCUCGUGGGCGAAUCAAGGCACAGCAACGCAGUGGAGCCUGAGGGGAGCCGGGCACUGGUGCAGGGGACCAUGCACAGGGCACCCUCGGAGCUCCGUUCCCGGCCACAGGAGCCAAGGCAGGCUGGAGUGUCCAGCACCUGCAUGCUGGGGGCCUCUGCUGCGCCACUGGCAGUGGGAAUGGAAGCCCCCACCUCUUAGCCGCCUGCAGAUGGGGGUGUCGUGUUCUGCUCAUCGUCAUUUCGUUUUAGGGGUUUUUCUGUAAGACUGAAGAUGACUUCAGUGAUUGGUGCCAGCAAGUCAAAAAGCUGUCUCUGCUCGGAGGUGCCCUGCCCAUGUUUGAGCUGGUGGAGCAGCAGCCUUCACAUCUGGCCUGCCCCGACGUCCUGAACCUGUCCCUAGAUUCUUCUGAUGUAGAGCGACUGGAAAGAUUCUUCGACUCAGAAGAUGAAGACUUUGAAAUCCUGUCCCUUUGAAAAUCCUGGGGUCGGGGGUGGCACCUGUGAGAGCCUGGGGCUCCUGGUGCCGCUGCGUUCCAUCCAUCCCGCCCGCUCGCCUGCCGAGGGCUGCGCCCCGUGCUGCCUCCCCCCAGAGGGCCACCCGCUGUGCUCGUGGACUGAGGCUGCGCUGCCCGGGAGGCCUUACUGCUUGGUGUCAGACUGCCCAGCUCAGAGUGCCCGUCAGGGCCUGUGCAUCCGCACGUGGAGCCGUCUGUUAGGAGCUUCCAGAGCAUUCUCUCGACACUGCCAGCCCCGUGUUAGCGCCUGGGCCUCAGUCCCACUUGCUCCCAGGCGCCGGUUCUGUGGUUGGUUUGGAAUUAAAGUCCUGUUUGAAGUUGUCAGACACAGACAUGAAUUUCUGGGGCGCUCCCUGAGUCAGAGUCUCAGAAGACCUGUGCAGGCUGGCGUGAGAGGAGCGGCAGCUACACUGCGGCCCCACGUCCAAGGACUAGGCUGCUCUCCAGGGGGGCGCGCCCACCGCUGUGUCCUCUCUGCCCAGCCUGGCUUACCAAGGGCUACCUCAGUGGGAGAUGAGGUUGGAGGAAUGAAGGACUCGCUGCUGCUGCUGCUGCUUGUGUAGGUGGGGGAGCCGGAGAUCCCUGAGGACGCGCGCCGGACACUCGGCACUGACCGGCCCACCUGGUAGCAGAGGACACCCCCAGCCCCCCAAGCAUUGAAGACAUAGUGUAUUUCCUCGUAUCCUUUCUCCCUUGGGUGUAGUUGGGGUGGGGAAGCAGGGAAGGCUGAUGCGAUCUCCAUUCCUUGGGCUCCGCGUCCGAGUUCAUGGUGCGCCGCUGUGCUGGGAGCUGCAGUGGGAAUGUGUGGGACACCUUGACCAAAGGGGAGCUUUGUCUUGUGUGUUUUGAAAAAGGCUUAAUGAAGACAAUGUUGUUCAUUCUUAGUAGUAUAGUUUGCAAUUCUUAAUGGCAAAUAAUAAG
rnacentral:lncRNA from 1 species